rnacentral:rRNA from 1 species
UACGUAGGGCGCAAGCGUUAUCCGGAAUUAUUGGGCGUAAAGAGCUCGUAGGCGGUUUGUCGCGUCUGCCGUGAAAGUCCGGGGCUCAACUCCGGAUCUGCGGUGGGUACGGGCAGACUAGAGUGAUGUAGGGGAGACUGGAAUUCCUGGUGUAGCGGUGAAAUGCGCAGAUAUCAGGAGGAACACCGGUGGCGAAGGCGGGUCUCUGGGCCGAUACUGACGCUGAGACGCGAAAGCGUGGGGAGCGAACAGG